rnacentral:rRNA from 1 species
UGCGCAGGCGGUUCGUUGCGUGGGUGGUGAAAUCUCCUGGCUCAACUGGGAGGGGGCCAUCCAAACGGGCGGACUUGAGGCGUGGAGAGGGACGUGGAAUUCCGGGUGGAGCGGUGAAAUGCGUAGAGAUCCGGAGGAACACCGACGGCGAAGGCAGCGUCCUGGCCACGACCUGACGCUCAGGCACGAAAGCUGGGGGGAGAAACA